GAUGAAGAACGUAGCGAAAUGCGAUAAGUAAUGAGAAUUGCAGAAUUCAGUGAAUCAUCGAAUCUUUGAACGCACCUUGCACCCUUUGGCAUUCCGAAGGGUAUGCUCGUUUGAGUGUCAUUGUACUCUCACUCUCCCGAUCUUUGGAUCGGGAGUGGUGGACUUGGGUGUUGCUGCUUUACCGUGGCUCACCUCAAAUGGAUUCGUGCAACUCCUGGUUGGACAUAGUACGGCGUGAUAAGUGUCUUCGCCGGCACCUCACUAGAGGGUGGCUGACCGGGAGCUCUGUGCUUCAAACCGUCUUCGGACAACAACUGACAACUUGACCUCAAAUCGAGUAGGACCACCCGCUGAACUUAAGCAUAUCAAUAAGCGGAGGA
rnacentral:misc_RNA from 1 species